UUCAUCCUGGGAAGACAGAAAAAAGAAAAGAAAAAGCAAGAGAUGUAAUAACUAGUAACACUGAACCUUACCCAGAAUAAGAUAAAGAAACUGAGUUACAAAGACUGUCUACCAUAAGAAAAUUAUAACAAAGCACGUAAGCUUGCAAAAGAGAGCAAAGACACAUCUGGAUUGUGUUAGCAGAAAUAAACCAAUGUGCUCAGGUAAAGCUGGUAGACAAAUGCAUGGAAGCAAGUCUGUUGUGUGACAGCCUGUCCAGCCUCACUACAGCUGAAAGAAGAUGGAAAGACUCUACCUUCUCUGUUUUGCUCCAUGUCCUUCAAGAUUCAACUCAAAUUCCAUGUCUUCCAGGAAGCCAGUCCUGUCUUUGGCAAAUUGGACAUUAAUUCUUGCUCUCCAAUUUUCUAGACCCUUUUCAAGUCAUCAUCAACUGUGCAACAUCAUCAAGUACCUCAGCUCUAAACUGGGUAUAUGGUGACCACAACAGUGAUGUAUAAAAAUAUUUAAAACAUAAGGAUUCUGAUUGGUACAAAACAGCAUCUAUUACUAUUAUUACUAAUAAUCACAGUUCUUGGUGUAUUACCUAGAGAUCCAAAUUGUGAUCAUCUUACUGUUGUCAUUUCCCUCUGACUAAACUGUUAGACUCCUAAGUGCCAAUGUGGUGAAGGUGAGGGUGCAUGCCAUGUAAUUUUGAAACCAGAAUGCAUUUAUUGUACCAAAUAAACAAGAGAACUCAAGGACUUGUUCGGCCCAACACCCCAACUGGUUGGCCUCUACCUUGAGUUUCUCUACUGCAUGGUUA